ensembl:lncRNA
CUUUACAGUUUAUUUAAAUGUAUUUACAGAACUAUUCCUGCAUAAGUUAUAUUUCUGAUGUCCAAUUCAGGUAAUUGCCUCCUGGGUAAGACAAAUAAUGAUAGUCUCAACAGAAAAAGCAGCUCAUUAGUAUACACAGAUUCAAAUUUGUUUCAUUAUUUAGCCAUCUUUGCCACAACUACCUGCUAACAAAUUUUGACAUGAAUAUUCUUUUUAGUUGAGAAGUUCAAUUUUACAACAAAUUUAUUUUUUUAAACAAAUACAAUCCAAAGGUUUUCUGCUUCAUGUUUUAUUUUUAAAGCAGAUUUUUUUUUAGGCAAGGUAAAAUUUGCUAAAUUCAAAAAUGUGACUCAGUUUCUAGAGAAACUGAAUGCUGUAGCUUCUAUCAAAGAUAGCUGGCAUAGGAUGACAAGGAACCAUGAACUUAUCCGAAAGUACAAACAUUUACAGUUCUAGCCAAUCCUGUCAACCAUUUCCAAAACAGACUCAGUAACUUCUCCGACUCCUGCCUUGUUACUUGAUAUUAUAAUAGGUUGGUGGUACUGAAGGUAAUGUCCAUCUGCGGGCUACUCUAUCUAGAACGUAUGUGGCUGACAGGAGAGAGUGCCCUCCCACUGCGCAAAGCCCCGGACCGAGUUUCUACUCUAGAUGCAGCCCAACCCCCGGACACACAUACCUGGAAUGGUUCUGUGAGCCAGUACCCAUCAACCAUGUCACACAAGUACAGUAUAGUAAUUCAGGACAAACAACUUGUUUUUCCCCCUCAUUCCUUCUUUCAGUUUGUUAAGACCCUAUGGACUCUAUAUAUGCAUCACCAUUUGGUAAUUUUUUUGUGUGUGUGUGCGCAGGCAGCUUAAGUUCAUAGGAAGAAAUAAGGUUCUGAUAUGUUCAGAGUGCACAUUUUAAAACAGAACAAAAUAAAAAUUUCAAGCAUGUGAUAAAAAUAUUGAUUUUUAUAAUACAGUAUUGCUUUAUAAAUAUAGAUGGAAAAGCUAUAAACUUUACUGGUCUUUGGUGAAUCCAGAGAAGGAUAAAUAAUUUGCCAUUUGUAAAUUAGAAAUCCAAAUUUUCUCCUUUGUUAUAAAACUCCAUUACAUGAGCCAAAUGUGUUUACACUGCUUGAUUUAAAAUACAAUUCACACACACACACACACACACACACACACACACACACACACACACACACACACACCAGGUUCAGAAUCAGACCCCACCAAGUGGUACAGCUCAGUCACACUGUAGAAGCUUGGAUGUGUGGCUUGGAAAAUUCUAUUCUAGGACCAACAUAGCCUCUGACAUUGAGAGGAAAAGGAGAGUUACUUGUUAAGCAGCACUCUGCCUAUCCCUGGCAGUUAUAAAAUUAAGUGCAUAACACAAAAAGGACAGGGAAAAAAGAAAGUAGAAAAUUUUAUGUCACUAACCUAUAGGCCUGGUCCAAAGUCAAUUCCACUGUGGAACUUAGUUCUUGUCCCAUUAUUUUCAGUGUCAUUGAAACAACCACAUUGUUGAUUUCUAUCAUUUCUCAAAAAAGUAAGUUGAUUAAAUGAGUCUGCAAAACACCACCAAUUUAGCUUCAUGUCACACAUUGUUUGAUGGGCUAAAUGACAGCAGAAAAGCCAAUAACCUGACCAGUACUGCUCUUACUAGGAAUUAAACGUAGGCAUCGGAAAAUUAAUGCAAAAUAUAUCCAGAUCGUAAGGCUAAAUACCUCUGACCAAAAAUAAUUACAAAUCUAGAGCUGAAGUCAUCAGUCUAGUAUAAAUGUAUUCCUUUUAACAAACCCUUUCUGGAUGCAACUUUCUUUGCUUUUUAAAUACAGAGAGACUGCAAAUAGUUUGUGCAAAAUAAAUACCCCACCACUUGCCACUCAUGCUUUGUGUUCGAUCAGAGCAUGAUGAUUUCUCCUUACUGAAACAGUCUCCCUCCACCCCCACCCCACCCCCAUCUCCUCUAUCAAAGAAUUCGGUUUUAUCAAGUUAGGGUAGUUAAGGCAUUCUGACAUGUAAUUAAAGGUGAUUCAAAAUAGGUAUCUAACAUUAUGCCAAUUUAGGAAUAGUACAUAAAUUACUGAAUGGUUUACAAAUGAAUAACU